AGAGUUUGAUCCUGGCUCAGGACGAACGCUGGCGGCGUGCCUAAUACAUGCAAGUCGAACGCUUCUUUCCUCCCGAGUGCUCGCACUCAAUUGGAAAGAGGAGUGGCGGACGGGUGAGUAACACGUGGGUAACCUACCCAUCAAAGGGGGAUAACACUUGGAAACAGGUGCUAAUACCGCAUAACAGUUUAUGCCGCAUGGCAUAAGAGUGAAAGGCGCUUUCGGGUGUCGCUGAUGGAUGGACCCGCGGUGCAUUAGCUAGUUGGUGAGGUAACGGCUCACCAAGGCCACGAUGCAUAGCCGACCCGAGAGGGUGAUCGGCCACACUGGGACUGAGACACGGCCCAGACUCCUACGGGAGGCAGCAGUAGGGAAUCUUCGGCAAUGGACGAAAGUCUGACCGAGCAACGCCGCGUGAGUGAAGAAGGUUUUCGGAUCGUAAAACUCUGUUGUUAGAGAAGAACAAGGACGUUAGUAACUGAACGUCCCCCGACGGUAUCCAACCAGAAAGCCACGGCUAACUACGUGCCAGCAGCCGCGGUAAUACGUAGGUGGCAAGCGUUGUCCGGAUUUAUUGGGCGUAAAGCGAGCGCAGGCGGUUUCUUAAGUCUGAUGUGAAAGCCCCCGGCUCAACCGGGGAGGGUCAUUGGAAACUGGGGAGACUUGAGUGCAGAAGAGGAGAGUGGAAUUUCCAUGUGUAGCGGUGAAAUGCGUAGAUAUAUGGAGGAACACCAGUGGCGAAUGCUGCUCUCUGGUCUGUAACUGACGCUGAGGCUCGAAAGCGUGGGGAGCAACAGGAUUAGAUACUCUGG
rnacentral:rRNA from 1 species